rnacentral:lncRNA from 1 species
UUUUUUUUUUUUUUUUUUUUUUUUUUUUGCUUUUUAGGGUGGUACACGUGACAUAUGGAGGUUUCCAGACUCGGGGUCUCACUGGAGCUACAGCUGCCAGCCUUUACCACAGCCACAGCAAUGCUGUAUCUCAGCCAAGUCUGCGACCUACACCCCAGCUCAUGGCAACACUGGAUCCUUAACCCACUGAGCGAGGCCAGGGAUCAAACCUGCGUCCUCAUGGAUGCUAGUCAGAUUCAUUUCCAUUGAGCCACCACAGGAACUCCCUCACAAUCUUUUUUUGAAUAAGUGAAUGGAAAAUGGUCAGGCAUUAUGGGGGAUGUCUUCUAAAUCACUGGGUAAUAAUUUUUCUUAAAAUCAGAGGACAUUCCUGGCUUUUGCAGCCUUAGGGACAUAAUUUUCCCCCCAUUAUCCCAUCUUAAAAGGCAGUGAUUUUGAGAACCUUUGGCCUGCACUGGCGUCAUCUUGAAGGCUUGUUAAAAACCAAACUGCUGGGGACCACCCCCAGAGUUCCUGAUUCAAUAGGGCUAGGGUGGCCUGAUAUUUUGCAUUUCUGAGAAGUUCCCUGAAGAUCUGCUGAUACUGCUGGUCUGCAAACAACAGUUUGAGACCCAUUCUUUGGAGGUUAAGAACCUAAGAAGUGUUAAGAUCCGCCUUUACUUGGCCCAGGCACCCUUGAACUUGUUAUUAAUAGUAUUGAUCAGUUUAAGAGUAAUCACAGAGACUAUCACAAGAAUCCAGUCAUGGAGGAACUAAAGGGAAAAUGUCUCUACAGCACUAAAUAAAUGAGAACUGUACAUUUAAAGUAGUUUCAACAGGAAAUGGAACAAAAAGCCUUUCAAACUAUACCAAACGAGUUCUCUUACAUCUGUGGCUGAUUUGGUUCCUUUAUAUUUGAAUAGGCAAAAUCACUGAUAUUUUAUCUCAUAAACUAUGACCAGGAGAGAUGCUUGCUAAGUAAGAGCAAGACUUGUCUACUACAGACAUAGUUGUAAAAUCAAGUUUCAGGUUUCUGCUGUGGCCUGUUUUCCCUAAACCCAUUAGAGGCAAACCAAUGCAAGUCAGGAAAUACUAUUUCAUGUGCCUAUGCUGCAUCAUAACAUUACUUUCUUCCAAAGUCAACAUAAAAUGUAAAAGUGGUAAACUUAAAAAACUUUAGUAAUUCUAAUUUUCAUUAAUCUGCUCUUUUGCAGACUGUCUUUUACCUCUUUUUUUUUUUGCAGAAGAUUACCUGGUUUCAGCCUAGUUUACGAUCUGAUUAACUUUCAUCACAGAAAAUUUCCUAGAAAUAAAAUUUGCCAGCAUUAUUCUUUUGUAAGUGUUGAGGAAGCUGGGUGGUUCCUAGCAACCCAGAUGGAGCAGAGCCAUGCAGGGUUCUGAAAGCGUUUGCAGAUUCCAAGAUGGUUUUAACCUGUUCAUGGUGGCAUUGCCUGAUGCACACUCUUGGAAAGACACCGAUGUACUUCCAUGAUGUAGAGUGGAUGUGGGUAGGCGGGGAGGGUCUUUGAGAGGGCUGGAGGUAUCCACACCCACUUGGGUACCCAUAGGAACUCUUUUCAAAUAAGGCACAAAAGAUAAGGAAUUGUCAUUUAGAACAGCUAAUCUAUUAAGAAACCUUAUGAACCUAAAUUAUUUUUAGGCCCAAAGCACAGAUCUCUAGUUAGAUUAUUUGGGGAUCAUGUGGGAGUGGAAAGUGUCUGCCGUGUUUAUUGCUGCAUCUUUAGAGCCAAAAGCAGUGCCUGGCAAAUCACAGAUACUCAUUGGUUGAAUGAAUGAAUUUAUUGUUUGUUUUUCCAUGUUUUCUCUUUAUUUUCUGCAUUUUAAUUUGUUCCCAUGAUAGAAGUACCACCCACAGCCUCUUAAAUAUGUUACCCCAUGGAAUAGUUUGCAAAUAUAACUGAAUAAAUAUAGGUAAAUUUUUCUAAUGGGAAAAUCCCAACUUUUUUUCUAUAUUAUAAAUUCAGGUAAGAUUCUAAUUUAAUUCUUGAUUGAUAAUUGAGAUAUCCUUCCACCUAUAGACCCACUCAUACCAGGAAAAUUAUCACCUAUAUUUGGGGAGAUUAGGUCAUAAUUGGGUAAUUUGGUUGCAAAAUAACCAAGGCCCAGUAAACAUUAUCCCACAAUCCUGUGGUAGGAUCCAAUAUUAGAAAUCACUGGAAGAUAAUCUCAUGAUGGACUGUGGCCAGGGUUUGUACUCAAACAUACUUUUAAUUAAGUUACUUUUAAUUAAAUUCUUGACAGAACUAUGUGGGCAAUCAUAGAUGGUAUACAAUAAACAGAUUUUUGGAUGACUGAAAGACUGACUUAUUUAAAGAAAGAAAUGAGCUUCACAUUUUUUUAUAGGGAAAGAUAUUUCUGUGUCCGUGUACAUGUAUGUUUUUCAGUUUGGUUUUGGUAGAAUCUGCUUCCUUUAGAUUUCUCUUUACUUCCUGGUCUCCUUGUGUCAUUCUUCUCUCAGGCAGUUCCCUUCAUUUACAACUAUGCCUUCCUAUAAACCCUAGCCUCAGUGCUACUUGCCAAGCAGUUUCUUGUCUCCUGCCUCUGCACGUGCAGAAUGCCCUUCCACCUUUCUUGCCCUGAAAAACAUUCAUCCUUUAAGACUCAGGUCAGCUGGCUUCUUGUCAAUGCAUUUUCAGCUACUCUCACCCGUUUGGAGCAAAGUAAAACUACCUUACUGUGGAUUGGAGUGGAGCAGUGCAUAUACUGCUGUUCUAGUGCUUUCUCCUGUAACUGUGUCUCUGUCUGCUUCCAGCACUGGUGUGUAAGCUUCUGGGAAUAGCCUAAUACUUUAUCUUAUGUCUGUAAAAUAGAAACAAAAUAGUAGAUGGUAGCAAUCCUAGGAUGUUGUAGGUUUUUAAAACUUGUUAAGGUAACUAAAAUAUACAUAUAGGCAUUGUAUUGAAAAUAAAUAGCCUCAGGUGGUAAACAGUGACAAUAUUAGGAUUAUGAGAUAGUACAUGAUAAUUUUGUGCAUGUUUUGUCUUUUUCACAUUUUAAGUCAAGUUCUUUAUACUGCUUUUUAAAUUUUAAUUAAGCAAAGAGGAAAUACUGUAUGUUAUAAAAGACAUUCCAGAACGUGCGCAUCAGAAUUUUGUUUCCCUUUUCAUAAUUGUCAUUUUGAGCUGCAGUGUUCUUGUUCCAGUUACACUGUCCUAUUGCUGUCCAUUUUUGAGACUGCUUCAGUUCCAUUCAGAGUCUCCCACCUGUCCUCAGUGGCAGAAAAAGUUUUCAGUACUAAAUUUUUUGAAAGAGUCAGGUGACAUUCAUGACAAAGUCUAAGGAGCAAGGUUGAUAAUCAAGCUGACUAAUAUCCUGUGGAGUUGGGAAGAGAGUGUGAUGGAUAAGUGCCGAGAUUCUCCCCGUGUCUUGUAUGAGCACCUCCUCAAGCUCUAAAAAUGUCAUCUCAAGGAAGAAAGUGGGAAGAACAAUUGCUUUAAACCCAAUAUUACAUGAAAUUCUGAAACAUAACUUUCUACCUAAAAUGGAUUUGAGCAAAGAACCCUUGCAAUAAGCAUAUACAUCCCUUAGGUGACCCUUUGAAAGGGACCUCGCUCACUUAUGCCUGUGAGUUCUUAUUUAUUAAACAAUAGUGUCCUCAUUCUAAAUCACUAAUUGCAGGACCUGGAACAUAAGCUAGAGAGCUGAAUUCCUUAGCUUUAAAUGUAGCUCUUUCCCUCAUCAGUGUAUGACCUCAGCAAAUUCUCAAUCUCCCAGUCCCUCAGUUUCCUAUCUGUAAAAUGGGAAGAGAGAAUUUUAGUACUUCACAGAGUUCUUGUGAGGUUGAAUUAAGUGGUUUUAAAAGUGCCUUGAAGGUGACAUAAUUUUGCCAAUUCCAAGAUGCACAUUUUAACACUUCUGAAGUGAGAAUGUAUCGUACAAUGUAAUUUUAAGAAGCACUUUAUUGCUAUUUAAUUAACAUUUUUUUUAAAAUCAGUGAUACCUAAAAUAACAGUGCAUCUUAGAGUAGGUGACAUUUUAGAUUUCAAUAACUAAUAGCAGUUGAGUGCUCUAUAAACACUGGCUAUCACCAACAUUGUCAUCCCAUCCAUAUUGUCACCAUUAUUAUCUUGGUUCCAAUCAAGGCAGAGGCUUUUGAUUGCUUGGCAGUGAUGGCCUAGAGUGCACAUCAGAUUUUAGUUUCAGUUAUUUGUUUUCAUCAAUGUGUUCUGAGAAAAGACCCAAUGAGCUCUUUUUCAUAGCUGUUUUGUAUUAAGCUGAUGUAUCUAUGGGAUUAAUUCAUGCAGUGUCUAUAUUAUUCUCUGCACUCUAUUUGGGAGCUGCUAAAAUGUCCUUCCAUGCAGAUCAGUCUCUUGAAAUAGACAAGAAGAUAAAUUCCUUAUUUUCUCUAUUAAUGUAUUUUCCGAAAUCCUUUCAAAGAAGUGCUUUUUCUUAGCAAGCAAAACUAAGCCACCAUUGUACACUUAAGAUUUACUAGUUUGCAAUCUUCUCUGACAGGGAAAAGAAGCAGUUUAUUGAUUUGCAAUAGAGAAUGGAUCACCACCAGACCUUUUCUGUUUUAUACAAUGCAAUGACAUAAGAAUCUGCAUAUCAUCAAGAAGACUGAGUCCUCACAGUUUGAGGCCACCUGUCAGGCAUGAACAAUAACUGGGAAAAAUCGAUACACAAUAUAAAACUGUUGUUUUUGCACAGAUACUGCCAGAAUCCACACCCAGUGACAGGCAUGUCUUGGUAUUUUACCAGUGAUAUGCCUGUGCUUCCUAAUUUUAGGCUUCCUCCUCAUUUUGAUUUUAUUAUUCAGUUUGGGGGAGGGUAGGAGAUACCAAUUUGGAUCUCAGGUAAAGAUCUUCUGCCAAGUAAAAGAGGUUCAACAAUAGAUGAGGACCUUGGACUGAAGUUUAUGAAGCUUGACUAGGAAGAUUCUGGGCACAUCUCCAUCCAAAUACCUUGACACAUACUUCAUUCACCCAUAACACAAGCAGCUUGUUUCUUCUUGUCUUCUGUUUGCCCUCAGGGGUUUAAAUGACGGUAUUUACAAGCCAUUAUGAAGCAAGAAUACAAACAUAUAGUGCUAGAUGGGGGCCAGUAAACAGUUUUUGCUUAGGUUUUAUUGUUGUUGGAUUUUAAACGUAUAAUUGGUUAAAUAAUUCUAGAAGCUGGGCUUCUUUCUUUUGCCCCCUCGUCACCUCUCUCCUUCUUCUUCAGUUUUCCCAGUCCCCAGCUUUUUUUCUUAACAAAGUUACAUCUGUCAGACAUAACGCUCACUAUAUCCCUAAAGCCUGCCUUUUGAUUCGGCUAGCUCUUUCUAAGUUCAGUGCUAUGGACCUGAAACAGUGUCUGUUUCCAACAAAAUGUCAGGUGAUUGCCACGGAGUCAGAGAAAUUAGAGCCAUCCCGUCCUCCUGGUAUGCUGCCAAACAGAAACUGGGGACCAGUAGGGAGCUGGGAGGCCUUCUGAGGGAGGUUGAGAAUCAGGUCUCUGUGGGUAAGCUGAGCAGUAGUCACUGUAGCUGGAAAAGCCAUGCAAAGGAGCACGCCUUUCAGAAGCAGCCUGUGGAAAACCGGUCCUUUAGAAUCUGCACUGAGCUGCAGUAGUUAGCUUUGAACCAUAGUGCAAACCCGUUCAAACACUGAAGAAAAUUUCCCUCGCUAAGCAGCAAGAAAUUCUUACUCUGUUGUGAUCAAAGCAAUCAGCCGGUUCCUCUUCCUUCCUUUUUUAUUUGCUUAUAUUUCUGACUUAUAAUCUCCAUGACCGUGGCCUGAUAGUUUCCUUUUACAGAGAAUUUUUAAAAUAUUUUUUCUUUCUCCAGUGCGUUUUAAAGCAAAUAAAACCAAAGUUGACAGGAAAUAUAUAAUGUUUCUUUUUCUAAUAAUUAUUAUUAUGAAAGUAAUGAAGGAGCUAAAAACAUCCAUAACUGCAUCACUGAAGGACAACCACAAUGAACAUUUUGGUGUAUUUAGUUCUCAUUUUUUGACCAGAUGUGUAAAUAUGUACAUACAUAUUUUUAACAAGGUUAGGUUAUGGCAGAAUACAAUUUUUGUAUUAAUGUACUUUGAGAAUUUUACUGUAUUAUUAAAAGCUUUUAAAUCAUGUCAAUGGCAGCAUUAGAAUCCAGGGUAAAUGGAUAUGUUACUAUGUUAGUAUCUUCCUCUUGGUGGGAACUCAUGUGGUUUUCUGAAUUAACACUAUUUCUCAUCUUGGAAUUUGUUAAGCUCUAUUUCUUUGGAUUUUGUUGGUGUAGAGUGAGAAUUUAGACACAUUGGAAAAAUGGAAUAUUUCUGUCUGUACUAUUGUUUGCUUUCCUUGUCAGCAUUUUUCAAAAGGCAUUUUGAAGAAGCAAAGUUUGGAGCAGUGGGGUUUUUUCUGCCUUUUUUCUUGUUUUUUUACUUUAAAUUUUGUGAUGGUGGAAUGUCAUCUUGUAGUAAUCUCAGUUAAUUUUUAAUUAGAGAAUCAAUAUAAAGUAAGAAAUAUGUUACCUAAUGAAACCCCUAAUCUUUCAAAACCAUAUGUCAUGCUAUGUCAUUUGAAGUUUGUCCAACAGAAAAAUGGGAGAUAGUGAAGAUUUUUUUUUAAAGAAAGGGACUGUUUGGGAAUUCCUGUUGUGGUUCAGUGGUGAUAAACCUGAC